rnacentral:rRNA from 1 species
GACGAACGCUGGCGGCGUGCUUAACACAUGCAAGUCGAACGAAGCGAAUGAAAGCUUGCUUUUAUGAGCUUAGUGGCAAACGGGUGAGUAACACGUAGACAACCUGCCGACAGGAUGGGGACAACAUUCCGAAAGGAAUGCUAAUACCGAAUGAAGUCGAGGGAAGGCAUCUUCCUUCGAUGAAAGAUGGCCUCUAUUUAUAAGCUAUCACCUGUCGAUGGGUCUGCGUCUGAUUAGCUAGUUGGUGAGGUAACGGCUCACCAAGGCGACGAUCAGUAGCCGGUCUGAGAGGAUGAACGGCCACAUUGGGACUGAGACACGGCCCAGACUCCUACGGGAGGCAGCAGUGGGGAAUCUUCCGCAAUGGGCGCAAGCCUGACGGAGCAACGCCGCGUGAGUGAAGAAGGUCUUCGGAUCGUAAAGCUCUGUUGACGGGGACGAACGUACGGAGUGCGAAUAGUGCUC